rnacentral:rRNA from 1 species
AUUGAACGCUGGCAGCAGGCCUAACACAUGCAAGUCGAACGAGUGGCGGACGGGUGAGUAAUGUCUGGGAAACUGCCCGAUGGCGGGGGAUAACUACUGGAAACGGUAGCUAAUACCGCAUACCAUCGGAUGUGCCCAAAUGGGAUUAGCUAGUAGGGGGGUUAACGGCUCACCUAGGCAACGAUCCCUAGCUGGUCUGAGAGGAUGACAAGCCACACUGGAACUGAGAAACGUCCCAGACUCCUACGGGAGGCAGCAGUGGGGAAUAUUGGACAAUGGGCUAAAGCCUGAUGCAGCCAUGCCGAGUGUAUGAAGAAGGCCUUCGGGUUGUAAAGUACUUUUGGCGGGGAGGCGUUACUCGCAGAAGAAGCACCGGCUAACUCCGUGCCAGCAGCCGCGGUAAUAC